rnacentral:sRNA from 1 species
AGAAACACUCGCUCAAGUCUCAUGCCCGUCUCUUGAGACGUUAUGUUCGACAAACAUAGACGGUCGUAAAAUUUCCUCUUUUGUACGUAACCACAAGAAAUUUUUUUGUGAGCAUGGAACUGACAAUUAUAAAUGGAUUGCAAUUCAGCCGCCUUGCACA